rnacentral:snRNA from 1 species
AUCGCUUCUCGGCCUUUUGGCUAAGAUCAAGUGUAGUAUCUGUUCUUAUCAGUUUAAUAUCUGAUACGUCCUCUAUCCGAGGACAUUAUAUUAAAUGUAUUUUUGGAGCAGGGAGAUGGAAUAGGAGCUUGCUCCGUCCACUCCACGCAUCGGGGAAAAAAAAAAAAAAAAAAAAAAUAGAUAUUAGCAAUCAUU